rnacentral:rRNA from 1 species
CGGCCGCAGUACCCUGACUGUGCAAAGGUAGCAUAAUCAUUUGGCUUUUAAUUGGGGUCUGGAAUGAAUGGAUUUACGUAGAGACUCUGUCCCAGUCAAAAUUUUUAGAAAUUCUUUAAAAGGUGAAAAUCCCUUUAUUCUAUAAAAGACGAGAAGACCCUAAGAAUUUUAAAAAUUUCAAAAAAUCUUUUUUGCUGGGGCGGCAAAGGAUCAAGAAAACAUCCACACUAUCGGUUAUAUCCGUAUUUUAUAAAUUACCUUAGGGAUAACAGCGCAAUUGCGACCUCGAUGUUGGACUAGGGCACUUUUAGGUUAGAGACCCCAAAGUCGGUU